ensembl:snRNA U1 U1 spliceosomal RNA
CUACUUACUUGGCAGGGGAGAUACCAUAAUCACAAACGUAGUGUUCCCAGGACAAGUUUAUCCACUGUACUCUGAAUGUGCUGACCUCUGUGAUUUCCCCAAAUGUAGGAAGCUCGACUGCGUAAUUGUGUUAGUGGGGGACUGCAUUCAUGCUGUCGCCUG